CGUGAGAUCCGAUCAGCCCAGGUGAUCUAUGUAAGAAUUGGACUAAAUGUGGAAAUCCACUUCUGGAAAAUGUCUGACAGCCACUCUUUACCACUGUUGCCUGCAACAGAGCUGGUCACGCAUCGCAAGGGAUUAGGACCAAAAUUGAGGCAUCCAGCACCCCGUGUUUCCCACCUGGGUGGAAAAGCGGAGGGAAGCGCCAGGGCGGAACUGGCUGCUGUGUCUCAAGGACUCUAGGAGAAGCCUCGGUCCCCGGGGCGGCAAAGGGGACCCGAGUGAGGCUUGAGGACUUAGAAAUGACAAUGGCGCCAGGGAGCGUCCCAGAUACCGGCUUCCAAGCGGCUAAAGCGGCUGAGGCGCGAAGAAGAAGCAGCUGCCUCGCUUCAGAUAGACGGGCACUUGCUGUCCCCUGCCGAGCCUGGAACAGGCUGCUCGCCGGGACCACGGCCUCCUACUGCCUCCUCUCACCACUUCAAGAGACACCAUCUCCUAAAGGUGAUUUUCUUUCUUGUUUUGUCUUUUUAGGGCCACACCCCUGGCAUAUGUAGGUUCCCAGGCUAGGGGGCGAAUCGGAGCUGUAGCCACCGGCCUACACCACAGCUCAUGGCAACACUGGAUCCUUACCCACUGAGCGAGGCCAGGGGUCGAACUCGUGUCCUCGUGGAUACUAGUCGGUUUUGUUAACCACUGAGCCAUGACGGGAACUCCUAAAGGUGAUUUUCUAUCACCAAAACUCGCCAAGGGGCUACGGGGCUGCAGAUGAUGGCACUAGGCCAUCGCUCUCAUUCAGGGGGCCCAAGCCAAGGCCCCUUAACCCGGCCCUGUCCUGUCGCUGGGUUCCACUCCCUCAGCCCUGCAUCCUGCAUUCCCCUCAGGCUUGUCUGGGUUUGGUGUCCCUGCCACCCUGUGGGUGCCCAGCUCUCCUGGGAGCACUAGUACCAUCAUCAUGUGACUUGAGUUUGGCCUGAGAAGACCUACCGGGCCUGCUGUCCUAACUGGGCUUGAGAAGUUGGGGUUCCUCAGCCCAUCUAGGAGAGAGCCCUGCCUCCCAUGCCCCCGGGGCCACACCACCCCUCCUCCUUCCAGCUGCUCCUUAGGGCAUGUGGGUUGUCUUUUUGUGUGUGUCUUUUUAGGGCCACACCUGCGGCUUAUGGGAGUUCCCAGGUUGGGGGUCGAUUUGGAGCUGCAGCUGCCACAGUAGGAACCAGCCACUUCAGUGUAGCAGGGCUGGGAUGGGUGAGGGCAGAGUGGGGCAGGAGGGUGCCUGGGAGAGGCCCUGGGGCCCCCCAACAUCUCUCUUUGGGAACCAUGAGGUACCUGAUGGGGUGGGAAGGAAGGGCCUGGGGUGUGGAGCUAGAAGAAGCAGGGACGCUGCGGGGACUCGAACCCCGGCCCAGCAGUGCCAGGUGUGCCACCACCAACGUCUUUUGCUUUUUCCUGCUCGUUUUCUCACAGACUCAAAGGUGAAAAGCAAAACCUGAACGCGGCCAUGAGCCGCAUCCAGGAAAAGAAACACCUGCGACGGCUCUGCGCCUCCCCCCGCCCCAUUGCAUGCCUCCCUCCUGACACCCCUUCAAAGGCAUACGGGGACACAGGUCCCCGCAGCCUCGUGGCCACUGCUUCUCAUCACGCUGGCUGCACAUCCCAGCCGCAGGAGCACCAAGUCAGACGGGGAAACAACCACAUGGCACAGCCCUGCUGCUCAGGACAGGCUCAGCGCUGACAAGACUGGUGGUGGAGAGAAAUUGCCAAGAUGCUAAGAAACUUGAGAAGCCACCUCUGCAGCAGGGCUGGGACGGGUGAGGGGAAAAGAACUUACUUUCAUUUUAUACUUUUUCCAUGGCUUGGAUUUUAAACUCUCCAUAGGUUACUUUUAUAAUUAAAGGCAGCAAUCUGGUUUUCUCAUCAGGACAGGAACUCAGGAGCUAGGGGGGAAGCCUUGAGCCCUCUGGCCUGGCUCAAAGGCCAACGGCCCUCCAGGCUGCUGUGCCCCGACCACGCUGGGUCACACAGACGGGCCCACCUGCCUCGCCUGCUGUCCUGUCCUGCUCUCCUGCCAUCGCCGGCUGUGGAUUCCUUCCUGGGAACAGCCAGUGCUUGAAACAAAGUCGGAAGCACAGCGGCCCCACCAGUGUCUUGUCUCACCCCGGGUCUGAGUUUUGGGGAGGGCGGGUCCAGGUCCGCAGGGCCCCUGGCCAGCACCUGCCCCCAGGCCUCCCUCCCAGCCCACUGCCCGCAGCACCCACUGCUCCCAGCCCAGGCCCUGCCUCCCUUGGGCCCACGGCGGGUCCAGUGGGUGCACCCCCUGCUCCCCACUGUGGAGAGCUUCACAGUCCUUGUCCGGGAGUCCUGCCCUGGCCCCUCCUGUUAGCCCUGAGGAGCUCAGAAGCCCCUUCCCAGCAAGGUCCAGAUGAGAAGCUGAGGCUCAGAGAGGGCUGAGAGCUGCUGGGGGUCACGCGGACCAUCAGGCAGCAGUGGGUCCUCUACUCAAUCUGAGGAACGUGAGCAGAGCCAACCCCACCUCACACACACACACCCCAACCCCAAGGUCUGGGGACCCCCAGGUGGGCUCAGAGCCAGGCCUGUGGCCCAGCCUCCGCCCCCUCAUCCCAACCCCCUCACGUCCCUGCCCUGCCUCCCAGCCCAUCUCCCCUCCCAGCCCCCUUCGGCUUUGUCCCCCAAACACAACACAAAGGGCAGGCACUUACUUAUUGCAGCAGGAGAGGGGACACGUGCACGGCCAUCUAAGUCCCAACCUGAUGACGAAGCCACAAAGCUCUGACCUUAAAAGGCCUCAGAAAUGGGGGUAGUAAAAACACUCUGUAAGAUGAGCAAAGAAUUAGUUUGACACGUUAGUGACAAGGCCCUCGCUACCUGUCCUUUAGGAAACCGAGACAGUGAUCUACACACGGAAACACGCCACGCUGGCUACAAGGGUGCAAGUUAAAAUGGCGUCAAGAAGCCACCCCCUGCUCGUAGUCCACGAGCAAAUACAUAAGGGAAUUUGC
rnacentral:lncRNA from 1 species